GUGAGUGGCACAGCAAUAUGAACUACUGAAACGAACGACAUUAAAGGACUUACUGGAAGCUCGAGGCACAGUGUCAAGUAAUAAGACAAAAGCCACGUUAAUCACAGAGCCAGUAACAGGGAAAUGGAGCACCUGGAGGAAACAGAAUUCCAAAAAGAGGUGAGAUGGAUGCUCAGUAUAUUGGGGCCCAAUCAAUCGCAGGACCCCAUCCUACAGGUCAUAGCGGUAGCCAUGGAGACGCAGAGAGCUCGGGAGUCAAGAGCAGGAUCACUGCAAGGGGAUUUGAUAGCACCCCCAGGAUGUACAAAUGGGCAACCAUGGAAG